rnacentral:rRNA from 1 species
AACGCUGGCGGCGUGCUUAACACAUGCAAGUCGAACGAUGACGAUGGUGCUUGCACCGUCUGAUUAGUGGCGAACGGGUGAGUAACACGUGAGUAACCUGCCCUCCUCUUCGGGAUAACCGCCGGAAACGGUGGCUAAUACCGGAUAUGAAUGCCUGCCGCAUGGUGGGUGUUGGAAAGAUUUUAUCGGUGGGGGAUGGACUCGCGGCCUAUCAGUUUGUUGGUGAGGUAAUGGCUCACCAAGGCGAUGACGGGUAGCCGGCCUGAGAGGGCGACCGGCCACACUGGGACUGAGACACGGCCCAGACUCCUACGGGAGGCAGCAGUGGGGAAUAUUGCACAAUGGGCGAAAGCCUGAUGCAGCGACGCCGCGUGGGGGAUGACGGCCUUCGGGUUGUAAAAUUCUGUCUUCAGGGAAGAAACAAAUGACGGUACCUGAGGAGGAAGCCCCGGCUAACUACGUGCCAGCAGCAGC